GACAGAGGCCUCAAGCGUUAGGCGGAAUCACUGGGCUUAAAGCGUGUGUAGGCGGGUCGUUAAGUGUCUUGUGAAAUCCCACGGCUCACCCGUGGAACUGCUGGGCAUACUGGCGAUCUUGGGCCAACUAGGGGCAACUGGAACAAGCGGUGGAGCGGUGAAAUGCGUAGAUAUCGUCUGGAACGCCAAAGGUGAAAACAGCUCGCUGGGGUUGUGCUGACGCUGAAGAGCGAAAGCGUGGGGAGCGAACAGG
rnacentral:rRNA from 1 species